rnacentral:misc_RNA from 1 species
GAUGAAGAACGUAGCGAAAUGCGAUAAGUAAUGUGAAUUGCAGAAUUCAGUGAAUCAUCGAAUCUUUGAACGCACCUUGCGCUCCUUGGUAUUCCUCGGAGCAUGCCUGUUUGAGUAUCAUGAAACUCUCAAAGAAAAUCUUUUGUUAAUUCAAUUGGUUUGCUUUGGACUUGGAGGUUUUUUUUUGCAGAUUAAUUUCUGCUCCUCUUAAAUAUAUUAGCUGGAUCUCAGUAUAUGCUCGGUUCCACUCGGCGUGAUAAGUAUCACUCGCUGAGGACACUGGUAAAAAAGGUGGCCGGGAAAUACAGAUGAACCGCUUCAAACAGUCCAUUCACUUGGACAAUAUAAAGUUUUAAGAUCUGAUCUCAAAUCAGGUAGGACUACCCGCUGAACUUAAGCAUAUCAAUAAGCGGAGGA